rnacentral:rRNA from 1 species
CCCUUAGAUGUUCUCGGCCGCACACGCGCUACACUGAAAGAGGCAACGUGUUUGCCUGAUUCGAAAGAAUUGGGUAACCCCCUAAUCUCUUUCGUGCUGGGGAUUGAGGUUUGCAAUUAUCCUUCAUGAACGAGGAAUUCCCAGUAAGUGCGAGUCAUUAUCUCGCGCUGACUACGUCCCUGCCCUUUGUACACACCGCCCGUCGCUCCUACCGAUUGAAUGGUCCGGUGAAGCGUUCGGACCGUGGCCUUUGGACGGUUCGCCGUCUGUUGGCUGCGGGAAGUUCGUUAAACCUUAUCAUUUAGAGGAAGGAGNAGUCGUAACA